rnacentral:lncRNA from 1 species
CUCCUACUGGGUGAAGAUGUUGGUGUGGUGCGUUAUGUAAAAUAUACAAAUUAUUAUUGGGAAUAACCACGUCUCAGCAGUGCUAGUUCUCAGUUUGGAGAAUGGGAAAUCGAAAGGAUCAGAUUCAGAGACGGCAACUUACUCAAGGUCACAGCAUUUUAAACCCAAAUGAAAUCUCCUAGGCCCUUCAUGCCACACUCAUCCAUCCCUACCUACUUGUGUUGCAACCAAGGGCCCCACUGUAGUGCCUAGGGGAGCAGGUCUAGGGCACAGUGCCAGGCCUGAUUAAUGUCUUCCUUACCAUUUUCCAGCGAGGGGCUGUGAUUAGGCCUAUUUAUAGGGGCCUGGU